GAAGGAUCAAAGAGAGUCAGUAGGAGAAUCAGGGAGAGGAAAGAAAGCAAUUACAUGCCUAGGAAAAAGUAACAGGAUUAGAGCAAGUUGCAGAUGCCGGGUAGUCUGUUGAAUAUGGUGGUCUGAAGCUAUGAAGAAGAGGAAAUGGGGAAUCAGCUGUAGAUGGCUGAUCUCGGAAGUGAUGAGAGCCAUAAGAUUGCUAAGCAUACUUCAGAAAUUGAAACCCUCAAUCCAGAUGUGUUUUCCAGUACCCCUAUACCACUGCGGACCAAGAUAAAAUCAGUGAAAAAACAAAGUCUGUCUCACUCCCAGGCUAAUCCUUAGACCUGAGGAAUCCUACAAUGAAGACAGGAUUAUGCUGGUUUUACAGACGGAGAAACUAAGCCUUCGAGAGGUCAGAUAUCACAUCCAAGUAAAAGCCAAAAAGGGAUGAAUCUAGGACUGGAAAUGUGGUCUGGCUGCCUCCACUAUGAUAUAACUGUUAGCCUGUGUUCUGUGACUAUGUGUCCUACAUAGUCCGUUUGCUGCUGGGCUCAAGAGAGAAACCAGGUACAUCAUUCACUCUUGAGAGAGU